GAAAAAAUGAACACCGUCCGGGUCAGCGACUCCAUCUCCAUGGGGACCAGGGGCAUGUGCUACAGACUCCAGUCCGGAAACCGUAUCGCCGACAUCAUUGAGACCGUCAUGGGCGUGGAGCGCUAUGGCACCUGGAUGCGACAAGAACGUGAGUGAGCACACCCGGAAACUUCCAGGGAAAUUCAUAUGACAUAGUAUCUGCUUUGCAGCAAGGAGGAAAGAAAGUAUGUCCUCCACAACUCAUGCCCAGGGGCAGGUUCAUGUGGCGGUAUGUACACACCAAAUACAGUGGCAUCCGCAAUUGAGACAAUGGGCAUGAGCCUUUCAUACAGGUGCAAAAUCAUGGUCUACAAACAGAGAAGCAGCAUAUAGGAUCUUAUUCCAAGUCUGGUAUGCCAUGAAACUUGGGGGCUAGGCCAAAACAAUUCAUGUACAUUGAGAACUUAUGAAGAUAUCAUAAGCUAUAUGUACAAAACACCAAUUGGAGAAGAUUUCCAUGCUUGGUGUAACUAUGAACAUAUGGAAUGUACAACGACUCAAGUGAGCUUCUGCUCUUAUUAAAUAGUCCUGAUCCAGCAUCUUUCUAGGUGUGGUUCUGGUCUCAGGAUGAUGCUCAAGUGUUGCCCGUGGUUCAGGUAAAACACCACUGCUUUGUUGGAGCCAUUAUUAACUACACGAUUUUGUUGAAUAAUUCGUCUCAGAAAAAGAAACCUAAAUUUGCACGUAGCUUCGUUAAUUCAGUUUCACAUGAAGGCCACAAAAUUAAUACGAUCAAUGCGCUACUAAAGAAAUAGUAGAGGUCUAUAACUGAUUCUCAUACUUAUUAUGUAUGAUAUCAUAUUGGCAUUUGAGUUGCUUCAGGAUUCCAGAAAUGGUGGCUUGAGAUCUGAGCUAGGUAGCACUGUUCAAGGUGGUAUUUCAGUGUAGUAACCACUUUUGUUUGAUUAUGAAUAUGUUUUGUUGUGUUUUCAUCUAAGCUUGCAAUGUUAAUGGUUUUAAAAUAAUUUAUGAAUUCCUAAUUGCAUCGCUUAAUGGCUAGCGAGCACAUUAUUUGUUAGUAUAUUUCUCAGUUUUCCUUUAUUGUCAUUCACUAACCCCAUUUUUUAUACUGAUUGUCAUGCAUAGUAUCAUACUGUAAAAUUGCUAGAUCGAUGGACUUUGGUAUGCUAUUUAUGUCCCACUCACCCAUGGGCGUCCUUAUCUGUUCCCCUCGUCGGUCAUUUCUCCUUGUUCCUCCAAUAAUCAUGGCUUCUCUCAAUUUUACUAUCCAGCUGCUCUUUCAGCUGCUGCUAGGUUGGAUCAAUUUCUUCGUCGUGCAUCACGGAAGCCUUUGUCGUGCUUUGCGGAAGCUUUCACAGGUCAGCUUCUAUAUAUCUCAUCGUUGCUGGCCAUAUUGGUUGUUUGGUACCAUGUAGAACUUUCACAGGAAGGCCUGGAACACCCAGCUAACAAAACUUCAUGUCUGGUAAGCUAGGUUCGUUGUAGAAGAACCUAAUGAAUUCUUCACUCCACUGAUUACCAUGACAUGCCACAAGUAUAGGUAGGGUACUUUCCUUUUUGAAAUCAGGUAGCAUUUCUUGUGUUUUUGUUCAUGGGGUGGCUCUGAAAAUUGAUCCAAUAAAGAGGGUGCAUAAUGAGCAUCUCUGCUUUGGUCAUACAUGUACUUUAUACUGAACCAAUCAAUCUGUUACGAAAAGGAGGAGACCAUUGUAAUGUACUCUCACUCUCAGCUUCAUAUGUUCAAGCAGAUUGUUGAACAUAUCCCUUAAUUAUCAAUUGAUGUGUCAUGAGCCAGUCCCUUCGCAUUUUCGUACUUCUCAUAUUUAUUCUUUACCAAUCUAUCUAAGCUUGCUUCCUCUUUUACCCAUCGUCUAAAUGCGGUCAAAAUAUUUAUCUAUCAAUUUAGGGAAAGCCUUCUUGAGAAGGCAGCAGCGAUGCCUUAUGUUGAGGUUUCUAAUGGAAUGUAUGCCUUUCCCUUGAUGGCGCAGUCCUUGAAGAAAUUACAUGACGGCAGUAAGUGACCCAGUCUCGACUAUAAAACAUCACAUCUUGUGUGUUUUAUGUUUUUCUGAAGUUUAUUUGUCUGAAGAAAAGUACAUCUAUAUUAUGUAGUAUAGAAGCUUAUACAUGCAAUAUUUCGAGUUAACGUUGCCCACAUCUCUUUUGUAUUUAGUUGCAGAUUGGGGUGUGGAUAGUUUGCUUUAGCUACUUAUGCGCUAGAAAAAUAAUGAAUCAAUUUUGGCGUAUAUAUCGAGGAUAAUGUCUAGAUCCAUUCAUGUAUUUUUGUUUGUGAAAAAGGAAAUACCCAUGAUAGGUAUUACAAAGCAUUAGGUGUAUGUCCUUCAUGAAAGAAAAAAAACAAAGACUAUUCGAGUUGGUAAUGGUUCAAAAUUUUGAAACUCACUACUUCAUGAAAGUGAAAGGGAAACAUACAAGUCCUAACCAAUGGCCUGAUAAAAAUAUUUUGGGGUUACGAUAUUUUAGAAGAGCUCUGAAUAGAGGAGUAGAGGCUUGUCCCUAAUUCUGCAUACAAAAGCCAUCAAUCAGUAUUGGAAACCUGAAAAUAUGAAGGUAAUAAAGGCAUAAAUUGUGUUGAUUCAAAAAGGUAUUUGUCUUAUUCUGAGAAAUUGAAAACUAUUGUGGUUUAUUUGGCUCACUGUAUCCUUCUACUCUUAUUUAGAUUCAUUAGCAUUUUUCCUCAUUGACACACCUUGAACAGGCUUGCCAUUUUCAUAACCUGUUAUUUACAGUGGUACUUUGCUUCUCAGUGGUAAAUGGUAGAUAAUGCUUUCUGUCACAAUUAAAAGAUCACUGUAUCUAUCUACAUUUGUCCUGACAGUUAGACCAUGCAACUCAAAAAGGUUAGAGAUUGAGCUUUCAAGAACAAUAUAAGAAAUAUGUUGCUUUCUCAAUUAGAAGAGUUGUGCCAGAAGAAUACAUGCAUCUACUAGCCAUAUUUCUCGAGACUUUAGUAUAUGUAAGUAACAAUUAUGUAUGUAUAUGGCAGUGUGCUUUGCUCUACCUCAAGACUAUCACUGAUAUGUAUUUCCUUGUGCUCUCCAAUAUGUAACUUUUAUGUA